GAUGUGGCCAUACCGGCCUAGUGGGCCCUAAAUCCAGUAAGACUGGUAUCCUUACAAGAAGACAGAGACACGGGGAGAAGAUGGCCCUGUGAUACCAGAAGCAGAUUGGAGUGAUGCAUCUGCAAACCAGGAAACAUCAAGCAGUGUUGGCAACACCAUGAGAAGAGGCGUCUUCCUUUUUCUGCUGCGAUAUUGGAAGAAAAUGUCCGUGAUCCUCACUGUUUGAAGUGCAACAAUCUAACCAGGAUGUGUCUCUGUGACUGGCCUCUAUUUCCUUUUCUGGAUUAAGACUACUGGAAGAAAAUCCGCAAGUGGACGAGUGAGGCCUGGGAGCAGCUGAAACGCGGAUGUGCUUCACAUCCGAUCCAAGCGUUUGGAUCCAGUCCACUUUGCCACUUGCUGGCUCCACUUUGGGUUUCCUCCGGAGCUGCUGGCAGCACCACGAGGGCGUCAAAGUUGGGCCUGAGAUGUUCAUUGGAAAUCAUAGGAUUUGGAAAUUCAAGUCUUGGGAUCACGUAGCAAACCACCUUCAUUUAACAGACGAGGACGCCAAGGGCAGGAACGUAGAAAAAAAUGUUUUCGGGACACACAGCUAAGGUGGGGCAGGAACGUAGAAAAAAAUGUUUUCGGGACACACAGCUAAGGUGGGACCUAAUUCCAUCUGCCCCCUUUUCUUCCAUCUCCUCAUUAAUUCAGCUGUUUUUCAAUCAAUUUGAACCAG